CGUGGUGGUUAUAGCGCCGGGGAUACACCCGUUCCCAUUCCGAACACGGUCGUUAAGCCCGGUACGCCGAUGAUACUGCCAAAAGUGGGAAAGUAGGUCACUGCCACGU
rnacentral:rRNA from 1 species